rnacentral:rRNA from 1 species
CCUACGGGAGGCAGCAGUAGGGAAUCUUCGGCAAUGGACGAAAGUCUGACCGAGCAACGCCGCGUGAGUGAAGAAGGUUUUCGGAUCGUAAAACUCUGUUGUUAGAGAAGAACAAGGACGUUAGUAACUGAACGUCCCCUGACGGUAUCUAACCAGCAAAGCCACGGCUAACUACGUGCC